CGGUAGGAGGCUUGAGCCGGGGCUCUCCCAGCAGAUGCUCUCCUGAGCUAGCGCCCAAAGUGGAGGGAGUCGGGUGGAGGGAGAUGUGCAGCUGGGGAAAGUCUCCAAAAUUCAGAGGAAAUCUUGCUGGGGAGUGAAGAGGGAAUGAAAGUGAUAUGGGAUGCCAUGUAAAGGACACAUCAGUAAAGACCUCCUGCUUCUGUUAACUCAUCUUCCUGAUGUCUAGCUGUACUGGCUAAGAAAUGAAAUAGAGUAUAAUAAAAAUCAACAAUUUAUCA